CACUAAAAAACCCGUCCGGCCCGGAAGGUCGCGCCUGACUCUCGUCCGCUGGAAAACCUAGUGCGCCGCCUCCAGCUCCUGCGAUUCUCCCUCUCCUCCAUCUUCUCUUUCGGCUUUCCCUCCCAGUCCACUCCGCUGGAGUAGCGCCGCCGGUGGAGUGCGGGCUGCCGGCGAGCCGGCGAACAGCGCAGCGGCCAGCCCUCAGCGAGAGCGCCGCCGCCGAUGGAGCGCGAGAACACCGAUGGAGCGCGAGAACCAGCCGAGCGCGCGCGGGUGGCGCCGCCGGCGGAGCGCCGUCGGCCGGUGGAGCGCCGGCCGCCUAGCCGCAGGUACUCCCUAUGUCCUCCACCCUCCUCAGCCCCACCUAUUCUUCUCUUUGUAUCCUCCGGCAGGCUCCGCCUCCUCCAGCCGCUUACUUUUUCCCUAGGCACGGGAGCAGAAGGUGGAGUAGGUGUUGAUGUGUAGUCGCAGAGAUUCCCAGUAGGUGCAGCCAAUCGAUGCCCAGCCCCGAGCGUCCAAUCCCCUCCCCUUCGCGUCCUCCCCAUGCCCAUCCUGCUUGGCCGCCGCCGCCAUCGCUGCCGCUCGCGCCCAGCUACUGAUCUUCUCCAUGGCUCGAAGAAAGAGAUGCUACGAGCAGCAAGGCAAUUUGGCUGGAGCAGAUGGAGCACGACGUGUGGAAGCUAGCAGGAAAGAUGAAUACCGAUGGGGGCUCUUCCUCCACCGCCGCCCUCCUCCCCCUUGCCGCCGAGAUCGUGCCGCCACAGCAGCUCGCGGGUGAGACGUAACUCAGCAGUGCGUGGCUUCGGUUUGGCCGGAAAGACGCCGGCCAACAGAACAACGGCCGGCCCUCCUCUGCCUCUUCAUUUUUUCGGAGACCUACAGGCAUGGAGCACAUGAAUGAUUGAGCAAAGAAACAUGUCCAUCUUCUGUUUUCUAGAGAUUUCCCCCCUUCGACUAUUGUGGAAAUGUUUUGUGCACGCAAGGAAUGUUUGUUUACAGAUCUUCAAUAACAGUUCAAAGCUUGGAUGAAGUUUUAUGUAUAUUAUGAUAGGAAGGUGCUUCAACGAAUUAUUAGUAGGUACUCCAAAUACCUUUUGUGCUGGUUAAGAGCAGGGCCAACAGUGUAUUUAGAACAUCUGCGCGCAUAUUAUCCUUAGGAGCAUACAGGCGAGACAACAUCACUUAAUGCCCUCCAACAACUAAUGCAGAAGCUUACAGGCCUUGGAUUUGGAAACGACAAGGCCCUGCAUUCAAGUGGUGGAAUUCACACAUGUAAAGUGAUGGAUCCUCUUAGUUCUUCCAUAUAAAGGCGUGUGAUGGUUGGUCUGCCUGUCUCGCAGCGCUUUGCAUUCUCUAGAACCUGAUACCAGCUAUAAGUCAGUGUAGGACCUCUCUUCUAAUUGACAUGCCCUGUAACUCCUUUUGUUGAUGCAAUCUAAAAGAUUAUUUACAAGGUUUUGUUUCCUGAUGAAGUGCACUCAAUUAUCAGUCUAAGAGAGAUCUGGAUAUCAUAGAGGGUUAUUGUUGAUCCAUGGAUACAGUCCAACAUCCAUGAUUAAAAGAGAAUGGUAAGGUUUCGACUUCAGUUACACAAAUCUCAUUUGCCUUUCUCGGGUAGGUUUGUUGGUGCUGGGCACCAUUCUUUUUCCUACUUACUCUGGCUUGGCUACAGCUUGCAACACAUCUAUUUUUCUGGUUGUUGACGUAUUACACUAAUGCAGUUGUUCCUUUACGGUGUGUGGGAGACGCUACAGUCUAUCAGGUGUGUGUCCUUCCCGCAAAAAGAAGCACGUACCUAUUUGAUCUAUGAAAGAAAGCACAUUACCUGCUCCCCAUUUUUUAGUGCAAAGGUUGCCUCGAUCAAGGGGAUUUGUCAAAACAAUGUCUAUGCUGAAAUAGGACCUGGUUUGCUAAUCCGUAUACUAUAUAGCAUAGAUGAAUCAUCCCCCGUUGAUCACAGUCUUUAACCUUGCUUCUGUAAUAUGACAAGCUACGCCUGUCAAUAGUGAGAUAGCUAUCUCUCUUAGUAGUUGCCUAGAUAUUUUAAUUAAUUACAUGAAGCCAACUUUGCUUGUUCGAAGAUGUGUUAGAAUAAGGUUUCCUCUUAAAUAUAGCUUAUUAUCCAUCUAUUUGAUUUUCUGCAAUCUUUUUAAUCUAUGGUUAAGCAAUCUAUGGUUGAGCAGAGAUAAGAAAAUAUCAGAAUUGAGUUGUUUCAAAUUAGCCCAUGUCAUGGCUUCACCUCGCUUUCCCAUGAAAGUGAGACACCUCUGUCAGUUCUAAGUUCUAUAUUAGACCUGAUUUGACAUUUGGGACAUUGUCAGUGACAAGAAUGUCCUCCUUAGUGAAGUGUGUCCCAAGUAGGAAAUCAGCUCGUUGUUGUGACUAAUUGCAAGCUCUCCAACAUAUCCACUCUAAAAUAUAUCAUAGCAGUUGCCUUCGUGUAGAAAGAAUUAUAAAUAAUGUAUUUAUGUACUUUUGGCAUGCAGUUGUAUCAAUAUUCCUCUCCUUUAGAUAUAUGAUUUACACAUUUACUGUUUAAUUUUACCUACUCUAGCCUUAAAUUCUAAUCUUGUGGGAUCACAAAUUUAUAUUGGACUGCCUCUUUAUUUAGUCUUCAAGUAGCGGCAACUCUCCUUAGUAUAUAGUACAAGUGUGUUUGCUUCUUAUGUCCCUGACAAGUGUUUGGUUGAUUACUAAUGGAUAUAGCUAAUUUUCUCUUUUUCAACACCCCUACUUAGUCCCAUAGUCCUCUCCCUUCUUGUACAUCAGUGUAUUUUAUUUGAGCGUUUUCCCCUCUCUUUGCCUUAGAUAAGGAGAUAAGCUAGAUGUAGAUGUGGAGAUACAAAGACAGAACCAUAAGCUCGAUGACACUAUUGGAUUUAAGUUAUACUUUGAAUGCUUCUUUCCAUUUUGUUAUGCAUAUGCACAAUGAUUGAAGUUCCCAGAUCCAUAAUGAUUUACCGUUGUUUUUAGGAUUUACGAUGCAAUGAGAUGUAAUUAGAAAAUUAGUUUGUUGAAAUUAUCUACAUCUCCACUCUAUACAAACUAGACCCAGUACUUGCAGCUAGGAAAUGAGUUACUUGAUGCAUGUGUUAGUCCGAAGGUUUGUAUUCCGGGUUGAGCACUUCAUCUCAACAACUCAAGGCAAAGGCUUAUGGCUUUAUGCACUUUGUUACCACCUGCAGGUUAGAAGAGGUUCAGAUUGUGUGCACUAAGACAUAAUCAAGUCGUUUUUUUUUUUGAAUGCUUUCUUUGUCAAGUGCAAAUACUUGCUCUUCAUGACAUUUCGUCCAUGUCUAUUUACAGGAGGUAGAAACUAAAUUUUUUAAGGAAGAUAAUUGAUACCUUCAGUGGCACACUUGGAGUAUGAAAAUGCCUCAUUUGGAUCUAUGCCCCUCCGUUACUGCCCAACAGCUGGUGAAUUUUUUGUUUUAAGGAGGACCGGUACUGCGUUCACCAAUAUAUGUUCUACCUCCAUGUGUCCGAUCUUGCAGCAGGGAAAGGAACGGACCAUGCAUCAUUAGUUCCCUAAUACAUUUUAAAUUGUUUUAUGGUGUAACAUGUGUCAUUAUGAUAUAUUAUAUCUUACAAAUAGGCAUAGGUGACGUGCUCCAUUGACAACAAUUGAUUCACUAUAAUAAUGUUGCAGAUGAGCUUUGCAGCAAUAUUACCUAAAUAUAGCAUGCAGUUUUUCAUACUGCCAUUGCACAAUGCCAUUGAAUUGCUCUUCCUUUUUGUGUUUAUCUAUAUAUGUAUUAUGUUGCCUCAUACAACUCACACAAUCAGAUUAUGAUGAGAAAGAAUCUCCUCGAUCCAAAUGAAUUAUUCACACAAUAGAAACUGGUGCGAGAGCCACGGGAUCGUGCGCCAAGGAUUAAGAUUUGAACUCAUGCAUACUAUCUAUGCAUCCGAGAUUCAGGUGAACCAGAACAGUCUAAGCCUCACUCUAUCAGACUUACAGUGUAGAUCAGUUUAUGAUGUACAUAUUUUAGUAUUAGACUGAAAUAGCCUGUCAGGAUAUCAUAAGCAUAGGAUUUAUCUUUCUGCAAGUUGUUCUUACAUCCUAUCAAAGACUGAGAUGACGAGGAUCAAAGGGUAUCAAUGUAUUUUUAAUUUCCCCACUAUUAUUUAUU